UACAGAGGUCUCAAGCGUUGUUCGGAUUCAUUGGGCGUAAAGGGCGCGUAGGCGGCUUGGCAAGUGGAAGGUGAAAUCCCUCGGCUUAACCGAGGAACUGCCUCCCAAACUGCUUGGCUUGAGACCAGGAGAGGUGAGUGGAAUUCCCAGUGUAGCGGUGAAAUGCGUAGAUAUUGGGAGGAACACCAGUGGCGAAGGCGGCUCACUGGACUGGUACUGACGCUGAUGCGCGAAAGCGUGGGGAGCAAACGGG
rnacentral:rRNA from 1 species